GUGCUCCCUUCAGCAGUACCUAUACUAAAAUUGGAAGGAUACAGAGAAGAUUAACAUGGCCCCUGCGCAAGGACAACAUGCAAAUUUGUGAAGUAUUCCACAUUUUC